rnacentral:rRNA from 1 species
AGCGAACGCUGGCGGCAGGCUUAACACAUGCAAGUCGAGCGGGCACUUUCGGGUGUCAGCGGCGGACGGGUGAGUAACGCGUGGGAACGUGCCCUCUGGUUCGGAAUAACCCAGGGAAACUUGAGCUAAUACCGGAUACGCCCUUUUGUGGUAAGGCUUGCUGCCGGAGGAUCGGCCCGCGUCUGAUUAGCUAGUUGGUGAGGUAACGGCUCACCAAGGCGACGAUCAGUAGCUGGUCUGAGAGGAUGAUCAGCCACACUGGGACUGAGACACGGCCCAGACUCCUACGGGAGGCAGCAGUGGGGAAUAUUGGACAAUGGGCGCCAGCCUGAUCCAGCCAUGCCGCGUGAGUGAUGAAGGCCUUAGGGUUGUAAAGCUCUUUUAUCCGGGACGAUAAUGACGGUACCGGAGGAAUAAGCCCCGGCUAACUUCGUG